GACGAACGCUGGCGGCGUGCUUAACACAUGCAAGUCGAACGGUAAGGCCCCAGCUUGCUGGGGGACACGAGUGGCGAACGGGUGAGUAACACGUGGGUGACCUGACCCGCACUCCGGGAUAAGCCUGGUAAACUGGGUCUAAUACCGGAUAUGACCGCACCGUGAGGGUGUGGUGGCAAGUUUUUCGGUGUGGGAUGGGGCCGCGGGCUAUUAGCUUGUUGGUGGGGUAAUGGCCUACCAAGGCGGCGACCGGUAGCCGGCCUGAGAGGGUGGACGGCCACAUUGGGACUGAGACACGGCCAAGACUCCGACGGGAGGCAGCAGUGGGGAGUGGUGCACAAUGGGCGGAAGCCUGAUGCAGCGACGCCGCGUGGGGGAUGACGGCCUUCGGGUUGUAGACACCUUGCACCAUCGACGAAGGUUUGCUGACGGUAGUUGGAGAAGAAGCACCGGCUAACUACGUG
rnacentral:rRNA from 1 species